rnacentral:rRNA from 1 species
GGACCCCACUGCUAUCGGGAUAAAGACUAAGUCAUGCAAGUCAAGCGUCUCCAAGCUAUGUUGGAGAUGCGGCGUACGGCUCAGUAACACGUGGUUAAUCUACCCUUGGGACGGGAAUAACUCCGGGAAACUGGAGCUAAUACCCGAUGGGCGGGAACGCCUGGAAUGGUCUCCCGCUGAAUUGGCGUUGAAAACAUGCUUUCAACGUUGCCCAAGGAUGAGACCGCGGCCGAUCAGGUUGUUGGUGAGGUAACGGCUCACCAAGCCUAUAACCGGUACGGGCCCUGAGAGGGGGAGCCCGGAGAUGGAACCUGAGACAAGGUUCCAGGUCCUACGGGACGCAGCAGGCGCGAAAACUCCACAAUGCACGAAAGUGCGAUGGGGUUAUCCCGAGUGCCGUCUGAUGAAGAUGGCUUUUCACUGGUGUAAUGAGCCAGUGGAAUAAGGGGAGGGCAAGACUGGUGUCAGCCGCCGCGGUAAUACCAGCUCCCCGAGUGGUGUGGACGAUUAUUGGGCCUAAAGCGUUCGUAGCCGGCUUAACAAGUCUUCCGUUAAAUCUGGCGACCCAAUCGUCAGGCUGCGGGGGAUACUGUUAGGCUAGGGGGCGGGAGAGGUCGACGGUAUUCUCAGGGUAGGGGUGAAAUCCUAAGAUCCUGAGAGGACCACCAGUGGCGAAGGCGGUCGACCAGAACGCGCCCGACGGUGAGGGACGAAAGCUGGGGUAGCGAACCGGAUUAGAUACCCGGGUAGUCCCAGCCGUAAACUAUGCAGGCUAGGUAUUGGAGCGGCUACGAACCGCUUCAGUGCCGCAGGGAAGCUAUUAAGCCUGCCGCCUGGGGAGUACGGUCGCAAGACUGAAACUUAA